rnacentral:rRNA from 1 species
CCUACGGGUGGCUGCAGUGGGGAAUAUUGGACAAUGGGGGGAACCCUGAUCCAGCCAUGCCGCGUGUGUGAAGAAGGCCCUCGGGUUGUAAAGCACUUUCAGUGAGGAAGAACGCCUGGUGGUUAAUACCCAUCAGGAAAGACAUCACUCACAGAAGAAGCACCGGCUAACUCCGUGCCAGCAGCCGCGGUAAUACGGAGGGUGCGAGCGUUAAUCGGAAUUACUGGGCGUAAAGCGCGCGUAGGUGGCUUGAUAAGCCGGUUGUGAAAGCCCCGGGCUCAACCUGGGAACGGCAUCCGGAACUGUCAAGCUAGAGUGCAGGAGAGGAAGGUAGAAUUCCCGGUGUAGCGGUGAAAUGCGUAGCGAUCGGGAGGAAUACCAGUGGCGAAGGCGGCCUUCUGGACUGACACUGACACUGAGGUGCGAAAGCGUGGGUAGCAAACAGGAUUAGAUACCCUAGUAGUC